CGUGGACAGGAUCUUCACUGACAGCCUUGAAUCUUCCUCGCAUGCCUCCAAACGCGGUGCAGUAUGCUGCUCCAAGUAGUGUUGGGCUUCCUGUACCCCCCACCCAGGCCACCAGUCAUGCCCAUGGCUGCUUCGGUUCGGCCACCUUCGCCUUCAAUGCCAAUGACUUCUGGACAGCAAUCUCUUGUGGUCAAUCAACCACCCUCAAUGCCACCAUCAAUAUCUAUGAAUGCCCCCAGUAUGCAUGUACCACCUCCACCUGGUUCACAGUUUGCUCCUAUGCCAGUUCCCCAAACUUAUGUUCCCCUUCCUGUACACCCACUUACCACGCCUAUGUUGCCUCCGCCGCCGUUGCCUUAAGGAAUGCCUCCACCACCACCACCUGAGGAAGCUCCUCCACCGCUUCCGGAUGAACCAGAGCCAAAGAGACAGAAGCUUGAUGAUUCUUUUCUUAUUCCGGAAGACCAGUUUCUUGCUCAACAUCCAGGGCCUAUUCGUAUCUCCGUGUCUGUUCCCAAUGUUGAGGAAGGAAAUCUCAAAGGGCAGCUUCUGGAGAUAACAGUGCAGUCCUUAUAAGAAACCGUUGGCAGUCUGAAAGAGAAAAUUGCAGGAGAGAUCCAGCUUCCUGCCAAUAAGCAAAAACUGAGUGGAAAACCUGGCUUUCUCAAGGGCAAUAUAUCGUUGGCAUAUUAAAAUGUUGGAGUAGGAGAAACACUAGCCCUUUUCUUUAAGAGAGCGCGGUGGUAGAAAAAGAUGAACAGCUUCCAUGACCAGGACAUUCGAGCUCUGACGGCAGGCAGCUAUUUACACCUGCCGGGGGACUGCAGUAACGGGAGGCAGCAGAUAAAUUCUUAAUUUUUAUUGUAUCGCCCUGAUUGGUAGAAAAAACAACAAAGACGUCAUCGAUUUCUGUACAAAAAUACAAGCCAGGAACUGAGAAGAUUUUCUUAUAUUAUCGAAGAUGAUUAUAAUUUAUUUUAACAUUCAUCAUUGGAGAUAUUUCGGGUGAUUCAACAGGAUUGAAAUGCCAACUUCUUAUGAAAAACUGAAGUUAUUUCUCUUCCCAA